rnacentral:tRNA from 1 species
AACUUGAAAGCUUAUUAAGCAUUUAUUUGUUAAUUAAAAGAUAGAAUUAUUUCUCAA